rnacentral:rRNA from 1 species
UGAUCCAGCCAUGCCGCGUGUGUGAAGAAGGCUUUCAGGUUGUAAAGCACUUUUGUCCGGAACGAAACGGCGGAGACGAAUAAUCUCCGUUAAUGACGGUACCGGAAGAAUAAGCACCGGCUAACUACGUGCCAGCAGCCGCGGUAAUACGUAGGGUGCAAGCGUUAAUCGGAAUUACUGGGCGUAAAGCGUGCGCAGGCGGUUCCGCAAGUCAGAUGUGAAAUCCCCGGGCUCAACCUGGGAACUGCAUUUGAAACUACGGGGCUAGAGUGUGUCAGAGGGGGGUGGAAUUCCACGUGUAGCAGUGAAAUGCGUAGAGAUGUGGAGGAACACCAAUGGCGAAGGCAGCCCCCUGGGAUGACACUGACGCUCGUGCACGAAAGCGUGGGGAGCAAACAGGAUUAGAUACCCUGGUAGUCCACGCCCUAAACGAUGUCAACUAGUUGUCGGGUCUUAAUUGACUUGGUAACGCAGCUAACGCGUGAAGUUGUCCGCCUGGGGAGUACGGUCGCAAGAUUAAAACUCAAAGGAAUUGACG